ACUGUGACAGCGCGGCGCGGCCGGAUGCAUGAUCAUGCGUCAUGCAUGAGCCAUGCAUGAGGGACUCAGUUGCCACUUGCCAGUGUGGACGCUGGACGCUUGUUCAUGAGCUCAUUUUGCUGCUGCAUUACUUCAGAACAGUUCUACAGCCAGCUCCGCCAAGAAGACAAGCCUCAGCUCAGUGCAGUGUCUUCACGUAAUUUCCCAAAUUCCCAUGUAAACACUGCCGGGGAGUUGACGCACACGUUGUGGUCCACCUGUUGAGCCAAGGCUGAGUGGGAGCUGAGAGAAAAUGACAGAAGCAGAUUUUAUCACCCUGGUUCUUAAGGUCAUCUGCAUCUACUUCAUAUAUCGGUACCUGCGGGAGUGUCUCUCCAAUUACAGACAACCUACACCACCUGAUGGCCCGUCCCGUAUCUGCUCAACUUUCUACAACUUCAAAGGGAUCGUAGAUGAAAGUGAAGUUGUGAAAAUAAAGCAAGGCAUCCAUGAGCUAGACCUUCAUACGUUGAGGGUCUUGGAAGCAAUACGAGUGACGCAAAUGUUCCUGAAACAGUCGCGAGGUCGCUGUUGUUGUGUGCGAAUAAUAACAGGGCGUGGCCUGCACAGCCCUGACGGCAUACCCAAGAUCAAGCCAGAGGUUCAAAAGUUAUUGGGUAACAGAGGCUACAAGUUCAA